GACGAACGCUGGCGGCGUGCUUAACACAUGCAAGUCGAACGGAAAGGCCCUGCUUUUGUGGGGUGCACGAGUGGCGAACGGGUGAGUAACACGUGAGUAACCUGCCCUUGACUUUGGGAUAACUUCAGGAAACUGGGGCUAAUACCGGAUAGGAGCUCCUGCUGCAUGGUGGGGGUUGGAAAGUUUCGGCGGUUGGGGAUGGACUCGCGGCUUAUCAGCUUGUUGGUGGGGUAGUGGCUUACCAAGGCUUUGACGGGUAGCCGGCCUGAGAGGGUGACCGGCCACAUUGGGACUGAGAUACGGCCCAGACUCCUACGGGAGGCAGCAGUGGGGAAUAUUGCACAAUGGGCGGAAGCCUGAUGCAGCAACGCCGCGUGCGGGAUGACGGCCUUCGGGUUGUAAACCGCUUUCGCCUGUGACGAAGCGUGAGUGACGGUAAUGGGUAAAGAAGCAUCGGCUAACUACGUG
rnacentral:rRNA from 1 species